GACGAACGCUGGCGGCGUGCUUAACACAUGCAAGUCGAACGGUGAAGCCUUUCGGGGUGGAUCAGUGGCGAACGGGUGAGUAACACGUGGGCAAUCUGCCCUGCACUCUGGGACAAGCCCUGGAAACGGGGUCUAAUACCGGAUAUGACCUGGGGAUGCAUGUUCCCGGGUGGAAAGCUCCGGCGGUGCAGGAUGAGCCCGCGGCCUAUCAGCUUGUUGGUGGGGUGAUGGCCUACCAAGGCGACGACGGGUAGCCGGCCGGAGAGGGCGACCGGCCACACUGGGACUGAGACACGGCCCAGACUCCUACGGGAGGCAGCAGUGGGGAAUAUUGCACAAUGGGCGGAAGCCUGAUGCAGCGACGCCGCGUGAGGGAUGACGGCCUUCGGGUUGUAAACCUCUUUCAGCAGGGAAGAAGCGUGAGUGACGGUACCUGCAGAAGAAGCACCGGCUAACUACGUGCCAGCAGCCGCGGUAAUAC
rnacentral:rRNA from 1 species